rnacentral:siRNA from 1 species
UGGGUGGACGAAUACUUUCAGU